UACCAGCACCCCGAGUGGUCGGGACGUUUAUUGGGCCUAAAGCAUCCGUAGCCGGUUCUACGAGUCUUCCGUUAAAUCCAACUGCUUAACAGGUGGGCUGCGGAAGAUACUAUAGAGCUAGGAGGCGGGAGAGGCAAGCGGUACUCGAUGGGUAGGGGUAAAAUCCGUUGAUCCAUUGAAGACCACCAGUGGCGAAGGCGGCUUGCCAGAACGCGCUCGACGGUGAGGGAUGAAAGCUGGGGGAGCAAACCGG
rnacentral:rRNA from 2 species